UAUGAAGCCUAGCGAUUAUAAAGUUAGUGGCGGACGGGUGAGUAACGCGUGAAUAACCUGCCCUGUACCGGGGGACAACAGUUGGAAACGACUGCUAAUACCGCAUGACACAUUGGGGUCGCAUGGCCUUGAUGUCAAAGAUUUAUCGCUGAAAGAUGGCCUCGCGUCUGAUUAGCUAGUUGGUGAGGUAACGGCCCACCAAGGCGACGAUCAGUAGCCGGACUGAGAGGUUGACCGGCCACAUUGGGACUGAGAUACGGCCCAGACUCC
rnacentral:rRNA from 1 species